rnacentral:lncRNA from 1 species
AUUGCCGGAGAGUUUCUGCAAUAUGCUACUACAGUCCAUAUGCUUAUCAAUUAUGAGGAUUUUUGGCUUUCGGCUCUGGAAAAUAUGAGAAAUACAGGCAAUUACUCUCUGAAGAAAGGUGUUGAAUAAUUUGAAUGGGAAUUUGAAGGUUCAUGCCUUCCAAACCAGCAGGAAUUAAGGCUUAAUUGCUUGGAGAUACAUUUUCUGGCUGAUACCAGUAACAGAAAAAUGUCUGUAUGUCAAGAGGCUCUGUACUAAUCAGUUAACCAUAACAUGUGCCACCCCAUACCUAGGGCCAAUGUAACUGUUAACAGCUUGAAGCUAUUAAAAAUGUACCAAUGGA